rnacentral:rRNA from 1 species
CGGGUGAGUAACGCGUGAGUAACCUGCCUUACACAAGGGGAUAGCCUUUGGAAACGAAGAAUAAUACCCUAUAAAACUAUAAAAGCACAUGCUAGAAUGGUCAAAGUGCUAGCGGUGUAAGAUGGACUUGCGUCUGAUUAGCUAGUUGGUGAGAUAAAAGCUCACCAAGGCAACGAUCAGUAGCCGGCUUGAGAGAGUGUACGGCCACAUUGGGACUGAGACACGGCCCAG